rnacentral:rRNA from 1 species
AGAGUUUGAUCCUGGCUCAGAACGAACGCUGGCGGCAUGCCUAACACAUGCAAGUCGAACGCCCUGGGCAACCAGGGAGUGGCGGACGGGUGAGUAACGCGUGGGGACCUGCCUCGAAGUUCGGAAUAACCGCGGGAAACUGCGGCUAAUACCGGAUGUGGCCUGAGGGCCAAAGGGGAAACUCGCUUCGAGAGGGGCCCGCGUCCGAUUAGCUAGUUGGCGGGGUAACGGCCCACCAAGGCGACGAUCGGUAGCUGGUCUGAGAGGAUGAUCAGCCACACUGGGACUGAGACACGGCCCAGACUCCUACGGGAGGCAGCAGUGGGGAAUAUUGGACAAUGGGGGCAACCCUGAUCCAGCAAUGCCGCGUGAGUGAUGAAGGCCUUCGGGUUGUAAAGCUCUUUUGGCGGGGACGAUGAUGACGGUACCCGCAGAAUAAGCCCCGGCUAACUUCGUGCCAGCCGCCGCGGUAAUAC